GACGAGCGCUGGCGGCGUGCCUAAUACAUGCAAGUUGAGCGCUGAAGGUUGGUACUUGUACCAACUGGAUGAGCAGCGAACGGGUGAGUAACGCGUGGGGAAUCUGCCUUUGAGCGGGGGACAACAUUUGGAAACGAAUGCUAAUACCGCAUAAAAACUUUAAACACAAGUUUUAAGUUUGAAAGAUGCAAUUGCAUCACUCAAAGAUGAUCCCGCGUUGUAUUAGCUAGUUGGUGAGGUAAAGGCUCACCAAGGCGAUGAUACAUAGCCGACCUGAGAGGGUGAUCGCCCACAUUGGAACUGAGCCACGGCCCAAACUCCUGAGGGAGGCAGCAGUAGGGAAUUUUCGGCAAUGGACGAAAGUCUGACCGAGCAACGCCGCGUGAGUGAAGAAGGUUUUCGGAUCGUAAAACUCUGUUGGUAGGGAAAAACGUGGGUGAGAGGGGAAAGCCCAUCAAGUGACGGUAACUACCCAGAAAGGAACGGCUAACUACGG
rnacentral:rRNA from 1 species